rnacentral:lncRNA from 1 species
UCAUGUUUACAUCAAUCUUCUCACAUAUACCUAGUAUGGGGAGUGUAGUCAGAAAUUCUUGUGUGAAAAUAAGAGUGUAUCUAGUAAGGAAUUGAUGAAAUUCUCUAAGGCAUGUUACUAUAUUCAAAAUGUUGUUUUAAUUGAUUAAAUGUGAGCUAGUGAAUGGUGACUAUGAUUAAAUAUGCUCGAGGGUAAGGAAUGCUUAAUUCUAUGUAAGUGGUGAUCUUUGGCAUGUCAUGUUUCAUUGAAAAUCCCUAAGGCAAAUGUUGGAAGGUUAGGUUAUGUUUUGUUUGUUUUGUUUCAUUUUGUUUCUUUUAUUUUGCUCAAGGACUAGCAAAAGCUAAGUGUGGGGGAAUUUGAUAGGAGCAUAUUUAUGCGACUUAGUUAGCUUGUUCUUGUGCAUUUGUGUUGUUAUUUCUUAGUUAAUUAUGUAUUUUAAGCUAUUUUCGUGUGUUUGUAGGUCAUAAUAAUAAAGUUGGCAAGAAAGUGCAUUUUGGAGCAUUUUAGAGCAUUUUUUAGCCAAGAUUGGAUAGUGCAAGCAUGGAGACAUGAGGAUGGACGUUUUUGAAGAUUUGAAGGCUAGAAAUUAGCAUGUGUGUGUGCAAGUGUGUUGACCUACAACUCCAAACAUCCAUCCACUACACCCAUUA